rnacentral:rRNA from 1 species
UACCAGCUCCACGAGUGGGAACCACAAUUAUUGGGCCUAAAGCGCCCGUAGCCGGUUUAAUAAAUUCCUUGUGAAAUUGUUGUGCUUAACAUAACAACGUGCAGGGAAGACUGUUAGACUUGGGAUUGGGAGGAGUUAGAAGUAUAUUUGGGGUAGCGGUAAAAUGUUAUAAUCCUAAAUAGACUACCAAUGGUGAAAGCAUCUAACUAGAACAAGUCCGACGGUGAGGGACGAAAGCUAGGGGAGCAAAACG